UACGUAGGGUCCGAGCGUUGUCCGGAAUUACUGGGCGUAAAGAGCUCGUAGGUGGUUUGUCGCGUUGUUCGUGAAAACUCACAGCUUAACUGUGGGCGUGCGGGCGAUACGGGCAGACUAGAGUACUGCAGGGGAGACUGGAAUUCCCGGUGUAGCGGUGGAAUGCGCAGAUAUCAGGAGGAACACCGGUGGCGAAGGCGGGUCUCUGGGCAGUAACUGACGCUGAGGAGCGAAAGCGUGGGGAGCGAACAGG
rnacentral:rRNA from 1 species